AUUGAACGCUGGCGGCAGGCCUAACACAUGCAAGUCGAGCGGAUGAAGGGAGCUUGCUCCUGGAUUCAGCGGCGGACGGGUGAGUAAUGCCUAGGAAUCUGCCUGGUAGUGGGGGAUAACGUCCGGAAACGGGCGCUAAUACCGCAUACGUCCUGAGGGAGAAAGUGGGGGAUCUUCGGACCUCACGCUAUCAGAUGAUCCUAGGUCGGAUUAGCUAGUUGGUGGGGUAAAGGCCUACCAAGGCGACGAUCCGUAACUGGUCUGAGAGGAUGAUCAGUCACACUGGAACUGAGACACGGUCCAGACUCCUACUGGAGGCAGCAGUGGGGAAUAUUAGACAAUGGGCGAAAGCCUGAUCCAGCCAUGCCGCGUGUGUGAAGAAGGUCUUCGGAUUGUAAAGCACUUUAAGUUGGGAGGAAGGGCAGUAAGUUAAUACCUUGCUGUUUUGACGUUACCAACAGAAUAAGCACCGGCUAACUUCGUG
rnacentral:rRNA from 1 species